GACGAACGCUGGCGGCGUGCUUAACACAUGCAAGUCGAACGGUGAAGCUCCAGCUUGCUGGAGUGGAUCAGUGGCGAACGGGUGAGUAACACGUGAGCAACCUGCCCCUGACUCUGGAAUAAGCGCUGGAAACGGCGUCUAAUACUGGAUACGAGAAGGGUCCGCAUGGGCACUUUCUGGAAAGUUUUUCGGUUGGGGAUGGGCUCGCGGCCUAUCAGCUUGUUGGUGAGGUAAUGGCUCACCAAGGCGACGACGGGUAGCCGGCCUGAGAGGGCGACCGGCCACAGUGGGACUGAGACACGGCACACACCCCUACGGGAGGCAGCAGUGGGGAAUAUUGCACAAUGGGCGAGAGUCUGAUGCAGCGACGCCGCGUGGGGGAUGACGGCCUUCGGGUUGUAAACCUUUUUCAGCAGGGAAGAAGCGAAAGUGACGGUACCGGCAGAAGAAGCACCGGCUAACUACG
rnacentral:rRNA from 1 species